rnacentral:rRNA from 1 species
ACUCAAAUGAAUAGACGGGGACCCACACAAGCGGUGGAGCAUGGGGUUUAAUUCGAUAGUAAGCGAAGAACCUCACCUAGGCUUGACAUCUCGGGAACCCCGCGGAAACGCGGGGGUGCCGCAAGGAGCCCGAAGACAGGCGCUGCACGGUUGUCGUCAGCUCGUGCCUUGAGGUGUACUGUUAAGUCAGCGAACGAGCGCAACCCUCAUCCUGUGUUGAUUUUUCACGGGAGACUGCCGCCUCCAAGGCGGAGGAAGGUGGGGAUGACGUCAAAUCAGCGUGGCCCUUAUGCCUAGGGCGACACCCGUGCUACAAUGGUCGGUACAGAGGGUAGCCAACCCGCGAGGGGGAGCCAAUCCCACAAAGCCGGUCUCAGUUCGGAUUGAAGUCUGCAACUCGACUCCAUGAAGUUGGAAUCGCUAGUAACCGUGAAUCAGCCACGUCACGGUGAAUAUGUUCCUGGGUCUUGUACACACCGCCCGU